rnacentral:rRNA from 1 species
UACGUAGGGUGCAAGCGUUGUCCGGAAUUAUUGGGCGUAAAGAGCUCGUAGGCGGUCUGUCGCGUCUGCUGUGAAAACUCAGGGCUUAACCCUGAGCUUGCAGUGGGUACGGGCAGACUAGAGUGCGGUAGGGGAGACUGGAAUUCCUGGUGUAGCGGUGAAAUGCGCAGAUAUCAGGAGGAACACCGGUGGCGAAGGCGGCAUCCUGGACCAAUUCUGACGCUGAGGAGCGAAAGCCAGGGGAGCAAACGGG